rnacentral:rRNA from 1 species
UACCCUGAGUGGUGGAUCACUUGGCUCGUGGG